rnacentral:rRNA from 1 species
GAGUUUGAUCAUGGCUCAGGAUGAACGCUGGCGGCGUGCUUAACACAUGCAAGUCGAACGAAGCGCCUUAUUUGAUUUUCUUCGGAACUGAAGAUUUGGUGACUGAGUGGCGGACGGGUGAGUAAUGCGUGGGGUAACCUGCCCUGUACAGGGGGAUAACAAUCAGAAAUGACUGCUAAUACCGCAUAAGACCACAGCACCGCAUGGUGCAGGGGUAAAAAACUCCGGUGGUACAGGAUGGACCCGCGUCUGAUUAGCUGGUUGGUGAGGUAACGGCUCACCAAGGCGACGAUCAGUAGCCGGCUUGAGAGAGUGAACGGCCACAUUGGGACUGAGACACGGCCCAAACUCCUACGGGAGGCAGCAGUGGGGAAUAUUGCACAAUGGGGGAAACCCUGAUGCAGCAACGCCGCGUGAGUGAAGAAGUAUUUCGGUAUGUAAAGCUCUAUCAGCAGGGAAGAAAGUGACGGUACCUGACUAAGAAGCCCCGGCUAACUACGUGCCAGCCGCCGCCGUAAAA